rnacentral:rRNA from 4 species
CUUUGACCUCGGAUCAGGUAGGGAUACCCGCUGAACUUAAGCA